AUUGAACGCUGGCGGCAGGCUUAACACAUGCAAGUCGAGCGGAGAGAGGUAGCUUGCUACUGAUCUUAGCGGCGGACGGGUGAGUAAUGCUUAGGAAUCUGCCUAUUAGUGGGGGACAACAUUUCGAAAGGAAUGCUAAUACCGCAUACGUCCUACGGGAGAAAGCAGGGGAUCUUCGGACCUUGCGCUAAUAGAUGAGCCUAAGUCGGAUUAGCUAGUUGGUGGGGUAAAGGCCUACCAAGGCGACGAUCUGUAGCGGGUCUGAGAGGAUGAGCCGCCACACUGGGAAUGAGACACGGCCCAGAAUCCGACGGGAGGCAGCAGUGGGGAAUAUUGGACAAUGGGCGCAAGCCUGAUCCAGCCAUGCCGCGUGUGUGAAGAAGGCCUUAUGGUUGUAAAGCACUUUAAGCGAGGAGGAGGCUACUUUAGAUAAUACCUAGAGAUAGUGGACGUUACUCGCAGAAUAAGCACCGGCUAACUCUGUGCCAGCCGCCGCAGUAAUAC
rnacentral:rRNA from 1 species